rnacentral:rRNA from 1 species
GACGAACGCUGGCGGCGUGCUUAACACAUGCAAGUCGAACGGAAAGGCCCUGCUUGCAGGGUACUCGCGUGGCGAACGGGUGAGUAACACGCGGGUGAUCUGCCCUGCACUUCGGGAUAAGCCUGGGGAACUGGGUCUAUUACACGAGAGAGGCCCUUCUUAGGGAGAUGGUUGGUAAGAUUUUUCGGUGUAGGAUGGGCUCGCGGCCUAUCAGCUUGUUGGUGGGGUAGUGGCCUACCAAGGCGGCGACGGGUAGCCGGCCUGAGAGGGUGGACGGCCACAUUGGGACUGAGAUACGGCCCAGACUCCUACGGGAGGCAGCAGUGGGGAAUAUUGCACAAUGGGCGCAAGCCUGAUGCAGCGACGCCGCGUGCGGGAUGACGGCCUUCGGGUUGUAAACUGCUUUCGCUAGGGACGAAGCUUUUGUGACGGUAAUGGGUUAAGAAGCACCGGCUAACUACGUG